UACGUAGGGUGCGAGCGUUUGUCCGGAAUUACUGGGCGUAAAGAGCUCGUAGGUGGUUUGUCGCGUUGUUCGUGAAAACCGGGGGCUUAACCCUCGGCGUGCGGGCGAUACGGGCAGACUUGAGUACUGCAGGGGAGACUGGAAUUCCUGGUGUAGCGGUGAAAUGCGCAGAUAUCAGGAGGAACACCGGUGGCGAAGGCGGGUCUCUGGGCAGUAACUGACGCUGAGGAGCGAAAGCGUGGGGAGCGAACAGG
rnacentral:rRNA from 1 species